GAUGAACGCUGGCGGCGUGCCUAAUACAUGCAAGUCGAGCGAACAGAUAAGGAGCUUGCUCCUUUGACGUUAGCGGCGGACGGGUGAGUAACACGUGGGUAACCUACCUAUAAGACUGGAAUAACUCCGGGAAACCGGGGCUAAUGCCGGAUAACAUUUAGAACCGCAUGGUUCUAAAGUGAAAGAUGGUUUUGCUAUCACUUAUAGAUGGACCCGCGCCGUAUUAGCUAGUUGGUAAGGUAACGGCUUACCAAGGCAACGAUACGUAGCCGACCUGAGAGGGUGAUCGGCCACACUGGAACUGAGACACGGUCCAGACUCCUAAGGGAGGCAGCAGUAGGGAAUCUUCCGCAAUGGGCGAAAGCCUGACGGAGCAACGCCGCGUGAGUGAUGAAGGUCUUCGGAUCGUAAAACUCUGUUAUUAGGGAAGAACAAAUGUGUAAGUAACUGUGCACGUCUUGACGGUACCUAAUCAGAAAGCCACGGCUAACUACGUG
rnacentral:rRNA from 1 species